rnacentral:lncRNA from 1 species
UUUCCCUUCUCCAACAGCAUCUCUGGUUUUGUGAUGCUGUAUGGAUUCUUGAGCCAGUACCAACUGGUGCUGACUUCAGUUUAACACACCCCAGGCUAGGGUGUCUGCGAUAGCUCGGAAGUAGACAUGCACCCCAGUCACUCAUCCUUGGAUAGGGGAGAUGUAACCUUGGCUGAGUCCACCAAGGUUGGAAGAUUUCUUGAAAGAUUGAGCUUGCCAUGCUUAGAUUGGAGCCAGGCUUGCUGCUGCAGUUUGUGCUGCUAACAUCACACGUAUUUGGAGGAAAUGGCUCUUGAAGUUAAAUGAGGCUGGAUAAGACACAUAAAUGAAGCAGAAGCUGCUCUGCAUGUGUUAGGGCUAUAUCACCACAAGCACUGCUGAUCAGCC